rnacentral:rRNA from 1 species
AACGCUAGCGACAGGCCUAACACAUGCAAGUCGAGGGGUAACAUGAGUAGCUUGCUACUUGAUGACGACCGGCGCACGGGUGUGUAACGCGUAUGCAACCUUUCUUCAACAGGAGAAUAGCCCCCGGAAACGGGGAUUAAUGCUCCAUGAUGCUAUUUUAUUGCAUGAUAGAAUAGUUAAGGCUGAGGCNGGUUGAAGGUGGGCAUGCNGUGACAUUAGCUUGUUGGCGGGGUAACGGCCCGCCAAGGCGACGAUGUCUAGGGGUUCUGAGAGGAAGGUCCCCCACACUGGUACUGAGACACGGACCAGACUCCUACGGGAGGCAGCAGUGAGGAAUAUUGGUCAAUGGACGCAAGUCUGAACCAGCCAUGUCGCGUGCAGGAAGACGGCCCUACGGGUUGUAAACUGCUUUUGUACGGGAAGAAAAUGUCUUACGUGUAAGACUUUGCCGGUACCGUACGAAUAAGCAUCGGCUAACUCCGUGCCAGCAGCCGCGGUAAUACGGAGGAUGCGAGCGUUAUCCGGAAUUAUUGGGUUUAAAGGGUGCGUAGGCGGAAUGGUAAGUCAGCGGUGAAAUACUGCAGCUCAACUGUAGUUGUGCCGUUGAUACAGUCAUUCUUGAGUAUAGAUGAGGUAGGCGGAAUGAGUAGUGUAGCGGUGAAAUGCAUAGAUAUUACUCAGAACACCGAUUGCGAAGGCAGCUUACUAAACUAUAACUGACGCUGAGGCACGAAAGCGUGGGUAUCAAACAGGAUUAGAUACCCUGGUAGUCCACGCCGUAAACGAUGAUUACUGGUUGUUUGUCCGGUUAA